CAUGGUCUUAGCUUGCUAAGGCUGAUGGCGACCGGCGCACGAGGUGAGUAACACGUAUCCAACCUGCCGUCUACUCUUGGCCAGCCUUCUGAAAGGAAGAUUAAUCCAGGAUGGGAUCAUGAGUUCACAUGUCCGCAUGAUUAAAGGUAUUUUCCGGUAGACGAUGGGGAUGCGUUCCAUUAGAUAGUAGGCGGGGUAACGGCCCACCUAGUCAACGAUGGAUAGGGGUUCUGAGAGGAAGGUCCCCCACAUUGGAACUGAGACACGGUCCAAACUCCUACGGGAGGCAGCAGUGAGGAAUAUUGGUCAAUGGGCGAUGGCCUGAACCAGCCAAGUAGCGUGAAGGAUGACUGCCCUAUGGGUUGUAAACUUCUUUUAUAAAGGAAUAAAGUCGGGUAUGCAUACCCGUUUGCAUGUACUUUAUGAAUAAGGAUCGGCUAACUCCGUGCCAGCAGCCGCGGUAAUACGGAGGAUCCGAGCGUUAUCCGGAUUUAUUGGGUUUAAAGGGAGCGUAGAUGGAUGUUUAAGUCAGUUGUGAAAGUUUGCGGCUCAACCGUAAAAUUGCAGUUGAUACUGGAUGUCUUGAGUGCAGUUGAGGCAGGCGGAAUUCGUGGUGUAGCGGUGAAAUGCUUAGAUAUCACGAAGAACUCCGAUUGCGAAGGCAGCCUGCUAAGCUGCAACUGACAUUGAGGCUCG
rnacentral:rRNA from 1 species